GUAGGGAAUCUUCCACAAUGGACGAAAGUCUGAUGGAGCAACGCCGCGUGAGUGAAGAAGGGUUUCGGCUCGUAAAACUCUGUUGUUAAAGAAGAACAUAUCUGAGAGUAACUGUUCAGGUAUUGACGGUAUUUAACCAGAAAGCCACGGCUAACUACGUGCCAGCAGCCGCGGUAAUACGUAGGUGGCAAGCGUUGUCCGGAUUUAUUGGGCGUAAAGCGAGCGCAGGCGGUUUGUUAAGUCUGAUGUGAAAGCCUUCGGCUCAGCCGAAGAAGGGGAUCGGAAACUGGGAAACUUGGGUGCAGAAGAGGACAGUGGAACUCCAUGUGUAGCGGUGAAAUGCGUAGAUAUAUGGAAGAACACCAGUGGCGAAGGCGGCUGUCUGGUCUGUAACUGACGCUGAGGCUCGAAAGUAUGGGUAGCAAACAGGAUUAGAUACCCUAGUAGUCC
rnacentral:rRNA from 1 species